GUACUCGCUUCGGCGGUACAUAUACUAAAAUUGGAACGGUACAGAGAAGAUUAGCAUGGCCCCUGCGCAAGGAUGACACGCAAAAUCGUGAAGCGUUCCACAUUUUU
rnacentral:snRNA from 1 species